CGGAUGGGAGCGUCACCGUGAGUCGCUAAGCCCCAUCCUUCAGUGGGCGCUAGCUAGGAAAAUCAUGACUUAGGCAUUAAUUGUGGAAGGAGGGGAGGCAGAAGAAAAGGAGAGGGAGGCAGAACAAGGGGAGAGACUCCCACCAUGCUGUGCUGAGGGGAGAGCGAGCUCUUGGGUUGCCAUGGAUGGAAAAAGAGCUGCUGUUCCUGUUUAAUGCGGAGCGGCGUUGGUGCCGCGAGCGGGGCGUGGGCGGAGAGCCGGGGGAGCUGGACCCCUUUUCUGGGGCGACAGACUUUGUGCAUAACAUUGAUUGGAUAGGUGGGGGAACAUCCCUUCCAUGGCACUUAAGGCCGCAUCCUCGGCUGCAGCCCAGGACAGAGAUUCUGACUCUCAAGUGACGGGCCGCCCCACUGCAGUCAAGGGUCACAGCGAACUCCGCCCGGAAAAAGCGCGCAGCGCGCGCGGGAGGGGGCGGAUUCAAGAAGAGACGGGGUCUAACGUAUCUUUGCGGCUUUUACCACAAACUUGAGAGAGCCGAGUUGACUCGGAUGAAACUUAAUGUCCGCCUGUGUUUGUGUUUGCUUGGUGCUUAGUAAAACAGCAUCCAGCUUCCUCUAGAGGUGCCUGCAUGUACCCGUGUGAUUGACACCACGGCUUUGGACGUGCGGCUUUCUCGAAAGCAUCCUUGGGCUCCCGGGACCUUUGCUCCUCGCAGCCACUCAAGAUGGUGCAGGUGAUGAGCACCAGGGGGCGCCCGACGGAGGAGGAAGCCAAACCCAGAUGGCGGUUGAAAGUCUAGCCCAACGACAGUUUGAAAAAUACAGAAGAAAAUAUGAAAGUGAAAAUCACCAGCAACUCUACUAGCCAGAGAUAUCAGCCUUUGGUACUUAGGUGUCCUUCUUUCCAGACUGGUAGAAAAAUGUUUAUAGUUAUGUUAUAAGCAUUUCCAAUGUCAUUAAAUAUUCUUUAGAAACAUAA